GAUGAAGAACGUAGCGAAAUGCGAUAAGUAAUGUGAAUUGCAGAAUUCAGUGAAUCAUCGAAUCUUUGAACGCACCUUGCACCCUUUGGCAUUCCGAAGGGUAUGCUCGUUUGAGUGUCAUUGUACUCUCACACUUCCGAUCUUUGGAUUGGGAGCGGUGGACUUGGGUGUUGCUGCUUACUGUGGCUCACCUCAAAUCGAUUCGUGCACCUCUUGGUUGGACAUAGUACGGCGUGAUAAGUGUCUUCGCCGGCACCUCAGUAGAGGGUGGCUGAUCGGGAGCUCUGCUUCAAACCGUCCUCGGACAACAACUGACAACUUGACCUCAAAUCGAGUAGGACCACCCGCUGAACUUAAGCAUAUCAAUAAGCGGAGGA
rnacentral:misc_RNA from 1 species